rnacentral:tRNA from 1 species
AGCUAAAUAGUUUAAAAAUAAAACAUUAAUUUUGUAAAUUAAAUUUAUAAUAUUAACUAUUAUUUUAGCUA